rnacentral:piRNA from 1 species
UGAAAAUCUUUGUGAAAGUUCUUGAGGCCU